AUGAACGCUGGCGGCGUGCCUAAUACAUGCAAGUCGAGCGAACAGACGAGGAGCUUGCUCCUCUGACGUUAGCGGCGGACGGGUGAGUAACACGUGGAUAACCUACCUAUAAGACUGGGAUAACUUCGGGAAACCGGAGCUAAUAUCGGAUAAUAUAUUGAACCGCAUGGUUCAAUAGUGAAAGACGGUUUUGCUGUCACUUAUAGAUGGAUCCGCGCCGCAUUAGCUAGUUGGUAAGGUAACGGCUUACCAAGGCAACGAUGCGUAGCCGACCUGAGAGGGUGAUCGGCCACACUGGAACUGAGACACGGUCCAGACUCCUACGGGAGGCAGCAGUAGGGAAUCUUCCGCAAUGGGCGAAAGCCUGACGGAGCAACGCCGCGUGAGUGAUGAAGGUCUUCGGAUCGUAAAACUCUGUUAUUAGGGAAGAACAAAUGUGUAAGUAACUAUGCACGUCUUGACGGUACCUAAUCAGAAAGCCACGGCUAACUACGUG
rnacentral:rRNA from 1 species